CAACAAGCAGUUUUGGAGGCCAACCAAGUACUCGCUACAUGAUAUCAUCAACACAGUGUUGUAUGAAGUUGUUCUUUUCUUAUGGAAACAGUAGUUUUUAAUUUUAGCAUCAAUUAUUUGCUUGGCUUUUUUCAUACCUAAUACUUCCUCGGGAAUGAUUUUUCCACCAUCAUUUAUCUCUUGAUGCUCAGCAGAGGGUAACUCCGGACUCUCCUCUACUUCUUUGACAACAUGACUUUCUUUUUCAAUGUUCACCAAUUCUUCGGACUCUACAUGUUUGGUAAUCACACCUUCACUUUUUUGUGCUUCUGAUUUCUGGUCAGUAUAUUCUACACUUUCUGCACUAACCUUGCUCAUUGUUUCGGGUAGAUUGAUCGCCUCAUGGACUUGAGUUGCUUGAUCUUUGUCAUUUUCUUUUGUGCUGCUCUUUCCAUCAUCUAUAGGUGUUGGUUCCUCUUCCUCAUGUGUUAGUUCCUGAAUAGUUUUCUCAACUAUUCCACUUUGGACAACUGCCAGUGUGGCCGUGGCCUCUAUUGAUGGAGCAUCUUCCUC
rnacentral:lncRNA from 1 species